rnacentral:rRNA from 1 species
AAAUUGAAGAGUUUGAUCAUGGCUCAGAUUGAACGCUGGCGGCAGGCCUAACACAUGCAAGUCGAACGGUAACAGGAAGCAGCUUGCUGCUUCGCUGACGAGUGGCGGACGGGUGAGUAAUGUCUGGGAAACUGCCUGAUGGAGGGGGAUAACUACUGGAAACGGUGGCUAAUACCGCAUAACGUCGCAAGACCAAAGAGGGGGACCUUCGGGCCUCUUGCCAUCAGAUGUGCCCAGAUGGGAUUAGCUUGUUGGUGAGGUAACGGCUCACCAAGGCGACGAUCCCUAGCUGGUCUGAGAGGAUGACCAGCCACACUGGAACUGAGACACGGUCCAGACUCCUACGGGAGGCAGCAGUGGGGAAUAUUGCACAAUGGGCGCAAGCCUGAUGCAGCCAUGCCGCGUGUAUGAAGAAGGCCUUCGGGUUGUAAAGUACUUUCAGCGGGGAGGAAGGUGUUGUGGUUAAUAACCGCAGCAAUUGACGUUACCCGCAGAAGAAGCACCGGCUAACUCCGUGCCAGCAGCCGCGGUAAUACGGAGGGUGCAAGCGUUAAUCGGAAUUACUGGGCGUAAAGCGCACGCAGGCGGUCUGUCAAGUCGGAUGUGAAAUCCCCGGGCUCAACCUGGGAACUGCAUUCGAAACUGGCAGGCUUGAGUCUUGUAGAGGGGGGUAGAAUUCCAGGUGUAGCGGUGAAAUGCGUAGAGAUCUGGAGGAAUACCGGUGGCGAAGGCGGCCCCCUGGACAAAGACUGACGCUCAGGUGCGAAAGCGUGGGGAGCAAACAGGAUUAGAUACCCUGGUAGUCCACGCCGUAAACGAUGUCUACUUGGAGGUUGUGCCCUUGAGGCGUGGCUUCCGGAGCUAACGCGUUAAGUAGACCGCCUGGGGAGUACGGCCGCAAGGUUAAAACUCAAAUGAAUUGACGGGGGCCCGCACAAGCGGUGGAGCAUGUGGUUUAAUUCGAUGCAACGCGAAGAACCUUACCUGGUCUUGACAUCCACAGAACUUUCCAGAGAUGGAUUGGUGCCUUCGGGAACUGUGAGACAGGUGCUGCAUGGCUGUCGUCAGCUCGUGUUGUGAAAUGUUGGGUUA